rnacentral:lncRNA from 1 species
CUUGAUUUAGUAAUGUCUGUGCAGCAGUGACAAAUGUCUUGUGUGUAAUUUUGGUUAGCAGAAUAUAUGCCCUCUAAAUUCAAUGUAUUCUUUAACCUCAGACAAUUUAAUAGAGGCCAGUAUGAAUUUUCUUGAGACCUGAAACACCAUAACUCAGCCUGCGUUUCACAACUGGACUCUGGAAAUGAGCUAAUGUCACACUGGGCGCUUGUUCCUGUGUGGCCUGGAAACUGGGGGGAAUCUGACCUCUGGAGCAACUUAUACCUACAGCUGCAUGGAAAGUAGAAUUUUCCACCGCAUUAUAUGCAGUACAUGUCUGCUGGAGAUUUGGAUGAGUGGAGGAAGUUGCUCUCUGCUGCUGAAGGU